rnacentral:rRNA from 1 species
GCAAGUCGAACGAAAAGUAAACUUCGGUUUAUGGAUUCGUGGCGGACGGGUGAGUAUAAUGUAGGCAACCUGCCCAGCACUAGGGGAUAACAGUUGGAAACGACUGAUAAUGCCGUAUACGCCAUAUUGGGAAAGCUUUGGCGGUGUUGGAUGGGCUUACACUUGAUUAGCUAGUUGGUGAGGUAAUGGCUCACCAAGGCGACGAUCAAUAGCUGGUUUGAGAGGAUGAUC